rnacentral:rRNA from 1 species
UUUUAUGGAGAGUUUGAUCCUGGCUCAGGAUGAACGCUGGCGGCGUGCCUAAUACAUGCAAGUCGAGCGAACGGACGAGAAGCUUGCUUCUCUGAUGUUAGCGGCGGACGGGUGAGUAACACGUGGAUAACCUACCUAUAAGACUGGGAUAACUUCGGGAAACCGGAGCUAAUACCGGAUAAUAUUUUGAACCGCAUGGUUCAAAAGUAAAAGACGGUCUUGCUGUCACUUAUAGAUGGAUCCGCGCUGCAUUAGCUAGUUGGUAAGGUAACGGCUUACCAAGGCAACGAUGCAUAGCCGACCUGAGAGGGUGAUCGGCCACACUGGAACUGAGACACGGUCCAGACUCCUACGGGAGGCAGCAGUAGGGAAUCUUCCGCAAUGGGCGAAAGCCUGACGGAGCAACGCCGCGUGAGUGAUGAAGGUCUUCGGAUCGUAAAACUCUGUUAUUAGGGAAGAACAUAUGUGUAAGUAACUGUGCACAUCUUGACGGUACCUAAUCAGAAAGCCACGGCUAACUACGUGCCAGCAGCCGCGGUAAUACGUAGGUGGCAAGCGUUAUCCGGAAUUAUUGGGCGUAAAGCGCGCGUAGGCGGUUUUUUAAGUCUGAUGUGAAAGCCCACGGCUCA